GCCCAGGUGAUGAUGAUAAGCCAGGAGAUUGGCGCAUCCCGAGUUGCUCGGGAGAUGCAGAGGCAGAAGAGGAGUUGUCAUCUUCAAAGACAUCCGAUGGCAAUGAAGAAGCUGAGGCAAAGGAAAUGUGAGCAAAUGAAGCAAAGUGGGAGAAAGUGAGGGGACACACACAGGGAUUCAAACUUGUCACCCAAAGACCAACCACACUGGGUGCCGGAACACUGCUGACAAGGCUAUCAGCACCACUGAAUAUAAUCUGUGUUAAUGCACUAGGUAUACUAAGGUAUUAUAACCAUAUAAAAGUGGGAAAAUAACUGAAACUUCACCUCUAAUAGCAAUGCACAAUAUGCAUUACAAUUACAUUUUAUAAAAUCUAUAUAUUCUAACUGUUUUAACAACGGAUGUUGCAUUUAAUUCUGUGCAGCGUGAUUUCUAAAAAAAAAUAUUUGGAAUCUUUUAAGUUGACUGGAUCUGAUCAAAGACGAUAUCAUGAAGAAAAAUGAAUGAUAGUGAAUUACUUUGGCUAAAACACACACACACACACACACACACACACACACACACACACACACACAAAAGUUUAAUUGCUCUUUUAUUCAAUUUUAUUAUUAGACACCCUUUAAAAUUGCUUAAUGAUGUGUGCCAUCUGAACUAUUUAGUUAUGACCAUUAAAUUAUGAUACAUAGAUGUUACAUAUAAAAAUACAUCUGUCUUUAUGACAGUUUGUUAUUGUUCAUUUACCUCUGUCUAGUGUCUUUACUGUAUAUGCACAUAUUUACUCUGUCUAUGUCAUCCAACUCUUGUUUAAAUAUACAAUAUUAAGUUUUCUGUCUUUAAAAAGCAACUGAAUGCGUUAACGUGUAAACCAUGUUACAAUUACAAUAAAUUAUAUGACGCAAAUUAAAUGUUAGUAUAAUACUAUAAUAGAAGCAUAUGUGUGUGUUUGUCUGUGUAUAUAAAAUAUUUCGCUUGAGUUUA